UCCCAGCGCCACGAGUGGCAUUCAUAAUUAUUUGGUCUAAAGCGUUCGUAGCUGGAUGUAUACAUCUCUUGUGAAAUCGGACUACUCAAUAGUUCGGAUGGCAGGAGACACGGUAUGUCUAGGGACCGGGAGGAGUUGGGGGUAUGCCUUAGGGAGUGGUAAAAUAUGAUAAUCUAAGGUAGACCACCUGUGGUGAAGACGCCCAACUAGAACGGAUCCGACGGUGAGGAACGAAGGCCAGGGGAGCGAACCGG
rnacentral:rRNA from 1 species